rnacentral:lncRNA from 1 species
CAGGCUCUCUGCUGGGAAGGACCUUGAAGACCGUGCGGUUCAACUUGCAAUUUGCUGAUGUGGAAACUGAAGCCCAGAGAGGGUAUGCAACCUGUCCAAGGUUACUCAGCCGAUUAGUCGCCUGAUUGGGACUGGAUUCGAGCACGAACUGUCCUUAUCCUUACAGGCCACUCCAAGGAGAAAGGGAUUCAAUCCUGGGGACGAAGAAGGAAGAAGAACAAAGGCAAGAAUAUAGAGGUAAAAGCUUCCUGGAUCCUGAGCCGGGGCCUC